rnacentral:lncRNA from 1 species
GCCCAGAUCAAUCGCGCGAUCGGACGGCCCAGAUACAAUCGCACGGACGGCCCAGAUUCAAUCAAAAACGAACGGCCCAGAUUAAAACAAAAUGGACAGCUGAGAUCAAAAGGCAAGGGGUUAUAAAUAGAACCCCCACACCAGACCACAAACCCUAGCCGCCUGCCGCUCGCCGGAGAAGACGAACCAGAGGCCGACCGCCGCC